UACGUAGGGGGCAAGCGUUGUCCGGAAUCAUUGUGCGUAAAGCGCUUGUCGGCUGCCCGGUAAGUCCGCUGUGAAAGUCCAGGGCUCAACCCUGGAAUGCCGGUGGAUACUGUCGGGCUCGAGUCCGGAAGAGGCGAGUGGAAUUCCUGGUGUAGCGGUGAAAUGCGCAGAUAUCAGGAGGAACACCGAUGGCGAAGGCAGCUCGCUGGGACGUGACUGACGCUGAGACGCGAAAGCGUGGGGAGCAAACAGG
rnacentral:rRNA from 1 species